ensembl:snoRNA U3 Small nucleolar RNA U3
AAGACUAUACUUUCAGGGAUCAUUUCUAUAGUUUGUUACAUUAGAACAGUAACAUUAAUUUGCAGAAAGGGUUAGCACAUGUCAGUUCA